rnacentral:rRNA from 1 species
UACGGGGGGGGCAAGCGUUGUUCGGAAUUACUGGGCGUAAAGGGCUCGUAGGCGGCCAACUAAGUCAGACGUGAAAUCCCUCGGCUUAACCGGGGAACUGCGUCUGAUACUGGAUGGCUUGAGUAUGGGAGAGGAUGAGGGAAUUCCUGGUGUAGCGGUGAAAUGCGUAGAUAUCAGGAGGAACACCGGUGGCGAAAGCGCUCAUCUGGCCCAAUACUGACGCUGAGGCGCGAAAGCUAGGGGAGCAAACGGG